GAAAAACUAGCAAGCAAGGCUAGGAAUGACAGCUGUGUAUCCUCAAAGUUUCCCCUCCGACUGUGAAAUGUAGGACAUAUUUCAAGCGUGUAGAAAAUGGAUGGAUGGAUGGAUGAAUGACAUCCCAUAACCCUGUAAACAACUCCCAGCUGUACCUCACAUCCCAUAACCCUGUAAACAACUCCCAGCUGUACCUCACAUCCCAUAACCCUGUAAACAACUCCCAGCUGUAACUCACAUCCCAUAACCCUGUAAACAACUCCAAGCUGUAACUCACAUCCCAUAAUCCUGUAAACACCUCCCAGAUGUACCUCCCAUCCCAUAAUCCUGUAAACACUUCCCAGCUGUACCUCACAUCCCAUAACCCUGUAAACAACUCCCAGCUGUAACUCACAUCCCAUAAUCCUGUAAACAUCUCCCAGCUGUACCUCACAUCCCAUAAUCCAGUAAACACCUCCCAGCUGUACCUCACAUCCCAUAACCCUGUAAACACCUCCCAGCUGUACCUCACAUCCCAUAACCCUGUAAACACCUCCCAGCUGUACCUCACAUCCCAUAAUCCAGUAAACACCUCCCAGCUGAACCUCAUAUCCCAUAAUCCUGUAGACAUGCCCAGCUGUACCUCACAUCCCAUAGUCCUGUAAACACCUCCCAGCUGAACCUCAUAUCCCAUAAUCCUGUAGACAUGCCCAGCUGUACCUCACAUCCCAUAACCCUGUAAACACCUCCCAGCUGUACCUCACAUCCCAUAAUACUGUAAACACCUCCCAGCUGUACCGCACAUCCCAUAAUCCUGUAGACAUGCCCAGCUGUACCGCACAUCCCAUAAUCCUGUAGACAUGCCCAGCUGUACCACACAUCCCAUAAUCCUGUAGACAUGCCCAGCUGUACCUCUGCGCAUGAGUGUGUAGGAAGCCAUUGUAACAGGUUCUUGCAUCCCUAAGUCACAUUCUACAACAAUAAUCUGAGAUCCCUCUUAACCAUCACCCCUGUGCAUAUACGAAGACUGUGUUAAUUAACUAUAUUACUGGUGCUUUUUGAUGUUGUCAACAAGAUAAAACAGCUGACCUUUAAGGUACCCUCCACCCCCAUUGAUACUGACUCCAUUUAGAGUGCUACCAAGAUCCCCCCCCCCCCAGGAGAAACAUGCCCUUCAAACGUGUGACGGGCCCAUGACACCAUUAUAUAGAUGGACACCUGGAUUUCAUUUCAACAAAUUGAUUUUCCAGCCCUCCGCCCCAACUCUCCUUAAUUCACAAGAAGAAAGUGAAAAGUCCUCUAACAAUUUAUCGAUUAACCUAACCUUAAAAAAAAUAAUAAACACCUUGGUUGACUAGACAAAUAACCGCUGAUUUACACAGAUAACAUGAGGCCGGGUGUUGCGUGGGAAAAUGAAACUCACUCCCCGCGAUAAACGUGGGCUGGUAUAAACCGUCCCGAGGAAGACUGCAGAGAAUGAGAUAAGGAGGAGAACUUCUUCAUUUCAUCAUUGGCAACAGUCACGGUGUGUGUGUGUUGUUGGCUGGGAUAUCAAGAUAAACGACAUGUCUCCGGGUUCCCCCUCCCCAGGUUCCCCCCUCCACCCCCCCUCUUCAGUGGGAACUCCAAGAUGCUCAGUAUGUCUUUGUGUCUGGAUUCCUGUUUACCGACCUCCCCUGCCCUCUCAGCAUCGUGUUUUUUGUUCAUUUUCUCGGAAUCUCAUUGCUUUAUAAUUACGGUAAAGGACCUUUAAAAGAUUAAGCCCAUAGAUGUGGCAGUGCUCAGCUGGGUAAUCGGCUCGGUGCUCGGCUAGCAGUGCCUGAAAAAGCGCAGUCAAAGCGAGAGAGUGAGAAGCAGCAGGGAUCAACAGAAACACAAAUGUAACUUAGUAUCUCCUUUACAAAAAAGCUUUUCACAGAAAAAGAAUAAAAUCGUAAAGAUGGGCAAAAGUAUAAAGCAUUAAGUGUCAUCUUCACUCCCUCCUGCCCGCUGCCCGGGACAGUGUUUAGAAAACCCUCAAUUUCUGGAACUAUCUGUCGGUAGCACUUGGUAAACAACAGACGCACUAAAAGCACCGCGAACCGUAGGGCUGGCCAAGUGCAGAAAUCAAAUUAUAGAGGCUGCUUCUCAAGCAGUGAUGGGCCGGCGGGCAGAGAUUUAGGUAUGUGGUUCAGGGCAGGUCGAAGAGGUCUAAACCAAUGGUUCGGCCUCAGACUUUGAGGAAACCAGAAACGCAAGAGCCAAGCAAACACAAGGAGAGCUGAACAUUGGGUGGAAUCAAACGCAUGACCCUAGAGACAUGAGACCGCAGUGCCUCCUACAGGGCAAAUACUGUAUCACGGGCCGGGAAGUUGAACCACUUGUUAAGUUGUUGUUGAGUUGCACUUAAAUGGAGGGAAAUUAAAAUUCAUUCUUGAGAGCUGUGGUUCCAAACUGGUUUAGCCUCAGGAAUCAACUUUUCCUUGGUCACUAAGCCAGGACCAAAAAUGUGAAAUUCCGAACCAAACUUAUUUAACAAAAAAAGUGCAGUUAUAGUCACAUACGUGCAAAUUGCGGGGGGUGGGGGAGGUGGGGGGAGUUGUUGGCCAUACAAUUUUCCAACCCACCAGUUCCGAAACGGUACCUCACAGGUCCCAUAGGUCGGGUCCAAGUGGUAGCAGGAUAUAAGGUUCAGUACAUCCAGCUCAUGAUGUGCAGCUUUAAAUUUCGGAAAAUGCGACACCUUUUAUAUGCGGACGUUUAUCAAACGAGGUAGCGGGGGUCUGUACAUCAAGAGGUGAUGUGCAGUACAUCACGCCAUCACACGGGCCGCAGAGUCCAGCAGCGAUUUAUGGCAGGCCUGGGGGCCACUAUUGUGUUUUGUCUGAUGCGUAAAUCACAGGGGCACGUUGCCAGCCAGGGCCAGGCCCGGAUGCCGGCGGGACUUCUCUGAUAGCCAGGACCCGGCUCGGAGAUAAGGAUUCUAGAGGGAAGGGCGAAUCCGGCAUAGAUGAGCGAUCGCCUCGGACGGGGUACACAUACUCCGGAGAUGGACAGCAGAUGGAUGGCAUUGCCGAAGAGAAGAUCAGGCAGAGAGGAGCACGGAAAGAAGGUUGGAUGCGUGGCGACCGCAGCAGCGUGGCCCGAUUACACCCCGGCCAAGGGAACGUCUGGGCCCACGGGUCUGCAGUCUGCUCCACCAGACCAAACCAGUCUCGGAAAUAACAGAGAAUAGCUCCGGACCACAGAAGGCAAUCUAUACAUCUUCCUGAGAGAAUGGAGCCACUUCCAGCAGGCCAAUCCAAUUGGCCAGUCACCAGCGUAAUCUCCGCCACCGCACACGGAUAUUAAAUGAAAUGGAUUGUGGGCUGG